rnacentral:rRNA from 1 species
GAUGAACGCUGGCGGCGUGCCUAAUACAUGCAAGUCGAGCGAACAGAUGAUGAGCUUGCUCCUCUGACGGUAGCGGCUGACGGGUGAGUAACACGUGGAUAACCUACUUAUAAGUCGGGGAUAACUACGGAAAACCGGAUCUAAUACUAGAGAAUAUAUUGAACCGCAGGGUGCAAUAGUGAAAGACGGCUUUGGUGUCAGUUAUAGAUGGAUCCGCGUCGCAUUAGCGGGUUGGUAAGGUAACGGCUUACCAAGGCAACGAUGCGUAGCUGACCUGAGAGGGUGAUCGGCCACACUGGAACUGAGACACGGUCCAGACUCCUACGGGAGGCAGCAGUAGGGAAUAUUCCGCAAUGGGCGAAAGCCUGACGGAGCCACGCCGCGUGAGUGAUGAAGGUCUUCGGAUCGUAAAGCUCUUUUAUUAGGGAAGAACAAAUGUGUAAGUAACUCUGCACGUCUUGACGGUACCUAAUCAGAAAGCCACGGCUAACUACGUG